GACGAACGCUGGCGGCGUGCCUAAUACAUGCAAGUCGAACGAGCGGCGGACGGGUGAGUAAUGUAUGGGGACUGCCCGAUAGAGGGGGAUAACUACUGGAAACGGUGGCUUAUACCCCAUACUAUCGGAUAACCCAUAUGGGAUUAGCUAGUAGGUGGGGUAAAGGCUCACCUGGGCGACGACCUCUAGCUGGUCUGAGAGGAUGAUGAGCAACACUGGGACUGAGACCGGGCCCAGACUCCUACGGAGGCAGCAGGGGGAAUGUUUGCACAAUGGGCGAAAUCCUGAUGCAGCCAUGCCGCGUGUAUGAAGAAGGCCUUAGGGUUGUAAAGUCCUUUCAGCGGGGAGGUGUUACCCGCAGAAGAAGCACCGGCUAACUCCGUGCCAGCAGCCGCGGUAAUAC
rnacentral:rRNA from 1 species